rnacentral:lncRNA from 1 species
CCUCUGCUGCUUUGGAACAGAUCACCACUGCAAGAGAGGAAGCUGCUACUGUGAUGAAUUCUGCCACGAGGUGUCAGACUGCUGCCCAGACCACCGCACCCUGUGCACCCUGGAUAACUCACAUGCAGGCUCCUUCCCACCCCUGGCGGAGCCGGAUGCUGUGAUGGACAGAGGCAAGCCCCUUGCUUGUACUUCAGGCCAAGGCCAGGAUGUGGACUGGAUGCCUCCUGAGGGCCCUGAUAAUCCUGAGAUCCUCACAUUUGGUCCAUUUCGUACCAAAAGUGCCCACAUAUUCCUCCCAGCUUUGUUUCCCCACUGCUCCUGACCACCUGCUGCUCCCCUCUGAGCUCCUUUCCCAGAUCCCCACAGGGAGAGGCUAAGCUGUUGGUGGUUGGGGAUCAGGGUGGCGAGUGAGGUGGUUGGGUCACCUAACUGCCCCCGCAUCUCUUGCAACAUAGAUGCCUCUUGACCUGACCCAUGUAGACUUUUGAGGGAAGACAGGAGUCUGCAGAGAGGUGCUAGGGAUGUUACAUAGGAGGAGGGAGACUGGGAGUCAGGGAGGAGGCCAGGAGCUUUUGCUUUGUGUUUCUCAGCUUCUCAGAAUACCAAGAUGGUGCUGCAGAUGGUGCUGAGGAGGGAGACCCCCCCGAGCCCUGCAAGAAGCAACCUAGACUGGAUACAGAAUGUGGUGAGUACCCUGGUGGUUCUCCCGGAAGGGGUGCUGACAACCUGCUCCUGCCUCCCUGGCCUGUAGACCCCAGAGUCAGGGAACCACUACCAAGGGGGGAAAGAGACCUGAGCUGGGGCACAGCUCCACGGUUUUAGGGCUAGGAGCCAUGGUAUCUGACCAUGGACACUGACACCUGAAUUUCAUAUAAUUUUCAUGUGUCAUGACAUAUUCUUUUGACUUUUUUCAACCACUUAAAAUAUAAAAAACAUUCUUAACUUGUGAUCUGCACACACACACACACACACACACACACACACACACACACAAACCUGCAACAAGUCAGACUUGGCCCACGGAUUGUGGUUGGCUGCUCUCUGCCCUAAAUCAUCCUUUGUUCUUUACUUUUCGUUUGGGUCGUGACUUCAGCACUGACCUGUCCAGAGCUCUCUGCCCAGAACUGGAGCAGAGGCUUCAGUCCCCACUCUAGCAUAUUAUGACCAUUGGGCAGAAAGAAAGGCAGCAUGGUACAAGGAAAGAGCAUGGACUCGGGAGCCAGCAAGACCUGGGUUCAAAUCCUGUCUCUACCACUUAUUACCUGGAUGAUUACUGGAUGACCUGAAGUAACUUCUUCUGCCUUUCUGAGCUUCCCUUUCCUCAUCUGUGUCCCAGAGCUUGCCCUGUAGAGCUGUUACAAAAGGGCCUUGGUAGAUGUACAACGAGACAUAGCUAUUAUUUGGGGACAUGCAAAUAAGCUGCAGAGGGUGUAGGCCUUCGCUUCCUGCUCACUUAGGUCCAGCAGCUUCUGCACACCAGCCUCCCAGGGAGGCCCCUCUCCAUCUCCAUGAAGAAAAUCAAGAAGAGAGCCUGACAUCUCCCAUGAAGCUCCUCCAGGGCCCUGUGAUGCAGAGCCCACCCUAUUCCCCUCCCCCAGCAUCCCCAGGUCUGCUGGGGCCUUACCACUGGGCCCACUGUGCUUGUCUCU